rnacentral:rRNA from 1 species
UACGUAGGGGGCAAGCGUUGUCCGGAUUUAUUGGGCGUAAAGAGCGUGUAGGCGGCUUUACAGGUCCGUUGUGAAAACUCGAGGCUCAACCUCGAGACGCCGGUGGAAACCGUAAGGCUAGAGUCCGGAAGAGGAGAGUGGAAUUCCUGGUGGAGCGGUGAAAUGCGUUGAUAUCGGAAGGAACGCCGGUGGCGAAAGCGAGCUGCUGGACCUUUUCUGACGCUGAGGCGCGAAAGCCAGGGGAGCAAACGGG